UACGGAUGAUCCGAGCGUUAUCCGGAUUUAUUGGGUUUAAAGGGUGCGCAGGCGGGAGAUUAAGUCGGCGGUGAAAUUUUGCAGCUCAACUGUAAAAGUGCCUUCGAAACUGGUUUCCUUGAGUGUAGAUGAAGUAGGCGGAAUUUGUGGUGUAGCGGUGAAAUGCAUAGAUAUCACGAGGAACUCCGAUUGCGCAGGCAGCUUACUAAACUACUACUGACGCUCAGGCACGAAGGCGUGGGGAUCAAACAGGAUUAGAUACCCU
rnacentral:rRNA from 1 species